rnacentral:tRNA from 1 species
AAUGAAUUGCCUGAAAAAGGGCUACCUUGAUAGGGUAGAUCAUAUAAUCUACUAUUAUAUUCAUUA